AGUGAACGCUGGCGGUAGGCCUAACACAUGCAAGUCGAACGGCAGCACAGUAAGAGCUUGCUCUUACGGGUGGCGAGUGGCGGACGGGUGAGGAAUACAUCGGAAUCUACUUUUUCGUGGGGGAUAACGUAGGGAAACUUACGCUAAUACCGCAUACGACCUACGGGUGAAAGCAGGGGAUCUUCGGACCUUGCGCGAUUGAAUGAGCCGAUGUCGGAUUAGCUAGUUGGCGGGGUAAAGGCCCACCAAGGCGACGAUCCGUAGCUGGUCUGAGAGGAUGAUCAGCCACACUGGAACUGAGACACGGUCCAGACUCCUACGGGAGGCAGCAGUGGGGAAUAGUGGACAAUGGGCAAGCCUGAUCCAGCCAUACCGCGUGGGUGAAGAAGGCCUUCGGGUUGUAAAGCCCUUUUGUUGGGAAAGAAAAGCAGCAGGUUAAUACCCCGCUGUUCUGACGGUACCCAAAGAAUAAGCACCGGCUAACUUCGUG
rnacentral:rRNA from 1 species